AAAAUUAUUACAAGAACAAAAAGAAAAGUUAUAAAUAAAGACCUAAUCAACAUGUUCUCUUUAUAGAAUACACAUAGAUAUUGUGAAACAACCAUUGUACUCUAAAAGCUUAAACUGUUGGAGAAUGGUGUUUAAACAUUUUUAUAUUUAACACUCCCCCUCACGUCUGGCUCGAAACUUUUUAAUCGGCCCAUGACGUGGGCUUGAAUUAAAUGGGAGGAAAUUAAUAUGCUAGGAGCCUAGCGUGACUUGAACUCAGGACCUCCUGCUCUGAUACCAUGUACUCUAAAAGCUUAAUACCAUGUGAAACAACCGUUGUACUCUAAAAGCUUAAGCUGUUAGAAGACGGUGUUUAAACAUUUUUAUAUUUAACACUCCCUCUCACGUCUGGGCUCGAGAUUUUUAAUCGGCUCAUGACGUGGGCUUGAAUUAAAUGGGAGGAAAUUAAUAUGUUAGGAGCCUGGCGUGACUCAAACUCAGGACCUCCUGCUCUGAUACGAUGUGAAACAACCGUUGUACUCUAAAAGCUUAAGCUGUUAGAAGACGGUGUUUAAACAUUUUUAUAUUUAACAGAUAUCAUCUGAAAUAUGUGUAAUUAUUGAGAUAUA
rnacentral:lncRNA from 1 species